UACGGGGGGGGCAAGCGUUGUUCGGAAUUACUGGGCGUAAAGGGCCAGUAGGCGGCCAACUAAGUCGGAUGUGAAAUCCCCAGGCUCAACUUGGGAACUGCAUCCGAUACUGGAUGGCUUGAAUUCGGGAGAGGGAUGCAGAAUUCCAGGUGUAGCGGUGAAAUGCGUAGAUAUCUGGAGGAAUACCAGUGGCGAAGGCGACUCUCUGGUCCGUUCCUGACGCUGAGGUGCGAAAGCUAGGGGAGCAAACGGG
rnacentral:rRNA from 1 species